rnacentral:rRNA from 1 species
GGUUAAGCGACUAAGCGUACACGGUGGAUGCCCUGGCAGUCAGAGGCGAUGAAGGGCGUGCUAAUCUGCGAUAAGCGCCGGUAAGGUGAUAUGAACCGUUAUAACCGGCGAUACCCGAAUGGGGAAACCCAGUGUGAUUCGUCACACUAUCAUUAACUGAAUCCAUAGGUUAAUGAGGCGAACCGGGGGAACUGAAACAUCUAAGUACCCCGAGGAAAAGAAAUCAACCGAGAUUCCCCCAGUAGCGGCGAGCGAACGGGGAGGAGCCCAGAGCCUGAAUCAGCAUGUGUGUUAGUGGAAGCGUCUGGAAAGGCGCGCGAUACAGGGUGACAGCCCCGUACACAAAAGCGCAUGUGCUGUGAGCUCGAUGAGUAGGGCGGGACACGUGGUAUCCUGUCUGAAUAUGGGGGGACCAUCCUCCAAGGCUAAAUACUCCUGACUGACCGAUAGUGAACCAGUACCGUGAGGGAAAGGCGAAAAGAACCCCGGCGAGGGGAGUGAAAAAGAACCUGAAACCGUGUACGUACAAGCAGUGGGAGCACCCUUCGGGGUGUGACUGCGUACCUUUUGUAUAAUGGGUCAGCGACUUAUAUUCUGUAGCAAGGUUAACCGUAUAGGGGAGC